UGCCAGCCUCCUCGGUAAUACGGAGGAUCCAAGCGUUAUCCGGAAUUAUUGGGUUUAAAGGGUCCGCAGGCUGUUUGUUAAGUCAGGGGUGAAAUCCUACCGCUCAACGGUAGAACUGCCUUUGAUACUGGCAAACUUGAGUUAUUGUGAAGUAGUUAGAAUGUGUAGUGUAGCGGUGAAAUGCAUAGAUAUUACUUAGAAUACCGAUUGCGAAGGCAGUCUACUACGUAUAUACUGACGCUGAGGGACGAAAGCAUGGGUAGCGAAGAGGAUUAGAUA
rnacentral:rRNA from 1 species